UGAAGGAAAAAAGGUUCAUGUUUUGCGCAUGCGUGAUAUGCUAUGAAUGUCUCACACAGAAACAGCAACAUCUCUAUUCGCCUGCCUGUCUCGCAAGAACGAAAAUAUCGUUGUCUUUCAUGUUGAACUUUCAAUUCAAUCGUAUAUCAGUAGAGUUCAAUUGAAAACAUGACAUCGCGCUGCACCAAGGGAACUGAAACUUGAAAAAUGGUCUAACUUGAAAAGUCUAGUAUUUACAACUCGAUCGGAGCGCCGCUAUCGGGAAUUGGGAUAACACACCGCGCCGCUAAAAGGAAUUAUCUCACCACGGGAAUUCCCAGAACACCUAUCUCCCUCGUUAGUAACGCUUUAAAGUGUAAAAAUCUAUCUGAUGCGUAAAACAGAGUGGUCCAUACAGUAGGCUCAGAGUAUCAAAUUUUAGAUAAGUCUUAAACAUUUAUGCCUAGACUGAGAACCAUUAUAUUUCGUCUCUAUUCGUCGGGUACUGUCAGAAAAUACGAAAAAACUUGUAAAAGAAGUUUAACCUUGGACGGUAUUUUACGUUUUUCAAGGUCAUUCAGGCCUGACUGCCCGUUUUUAUCAUUUUUCUCGUUACAUAUUACAUUUACAUCGUAACAAAGUAAUUAAAAAGGUUUCGUCAAAAUCCAUGAGGGCAUCAUACAUCGACAGAUUCACCGAUAAAGGAAUACGGAUCUGGCUAUUUCCGAUAUUUUCAACACAGUCAUAGGAAUGAGUACGCGUAUUGGCCGAAAGUGCCAUAUAUACAAAUAAAAUAAUACACAAUAAACGCAUAACGGUGGACGAUAGAGAGCAGUAAUUUCCUUGCUUCUGUGGCCUCUUGUGUCGUCAGUACUGCAUAGUACGUAUGUACAUAGGAAGAAAGAUAUGAGAUAGAUAAUGAUCGAUGUUGGAUCUAGGAAUUUGGGGGUAAUUUUUAAAUUCACCGUUCGAAAAUUAUCACAUAACAUAAAUAAAAGCUAUAGAUAAAAGUUGUGUCCUGAAACAAAAUUCAGUGCUUGUUUUUUCAUUUUCUUCACUAUGAUAGAAAUGGAAUACAAGAGGGGGCAAGAAAUAAAAAGAAUGCGAAUAAUUAGAUGUUACUGAGUACUAAUCAACUUAAUUGUUCUCUAUAUUGUAUUGAAUGAUCGAAAUAUACUUUUCUUCGCUUAUUUAACAAGAGUAUCAUAAAAAAAAAAUAAGAAAAUAUAUUGUAAAUUUUUUUUUUUUUUUUUUUU